rnacentral:rRNA from 1 species
CCUACGGGAGGCAGCAGUGAGGAAUAUUGGUCAAUGGGCGGAAGCCUGAACCAGCCAAGUAGCGUGCAGGAUGACGGCCCUACGGGUUGUAAACUGCUUUUAUACGGGAAUAACGCGCCGUACGUGUAGGGCUUUGCAUGUACCGUAUGAAUAAGGACCGGCUAAUUCCGUGCCAGCAGCCGCGGUAAUACGGAAGGUCCGGGCGUUAUCCGGAUUUCUUGGGGGUAAAGGGAGCGUAGGCGGCAUGUCAAGCGUGCUGUGAAAGGUCCGGGCUCAACCCGGGCCUUGCAGGGCGAACUGGCGUGCUUGAGUCCGCGUCAGUCAGGCGGCAUUCGUCGUGUAGCGGU